rnacentral:rRNA from 1 species
UACGUAGGGACCAAGCGUUGUUCGGAUUUACUGGGCGUAAAGGGCGCGUAGGCGGCAAUUCAAGUCAUCUGUGAAAUCUCCGGGCUUAACUCGGAAUGGUCAGAUGAUACUGCUUUGCUAGAGUGCGGAAGGGGCAAUCGGAAUUCUUGGUGUAGCGGUGAAAUGCGUAGAUAUCAAGAGGAACACCUGAGGUGAAGACGGGUUGCUGGGCCGACACUGACGCUGACAGCGCGAAAGCCAGGGGAGCAAACGGG